rnacentral:rRNA from 1 species
GAUGAACGCUGGCGGCGUGCCUAAUACAUGCAAGUCGAGCGAACAGACGAGGAGCUUGCUCCUCUGACGUUAGCGGCGGACAGGUGAGUAACACGUGGAUAACCUACCUAUACGACUGGGAUAACUUCGGGAAACCGGAGCUAAUACCGGAUAAUAUAUUGAACCGCAUGGUUCACUAGUGAAAGACGGUUUUGCUGUCACUUAUAGCUGGCUCCGCGCCGCAUUCGCUAGUUGGUAAGGUAACGGCUUACCAAGGCAACGAUGCGUAGCCGACCUGAGAGGGUGAGCGGCCACACUGGAACUGAGAAACGGCCCAGACUCCGACGGGAGGCAGCAGUAGGGACUCUUACGCAAUGGGCGAAUGCCUGACGGUGCAACGCCGCGUGAGUGAUGAAGGACUUCGGAUCGUAAAACGCUGUUAUUAUUGAAGUACAAAUGUGCAAGUAACUAUGCACGUCUUGACGGUACCGAAUCAGAAAGCCACGGCUAACUACGUG